rnacentral:rRNA from 2 species
CAGCCGCCGCGGUAAAACCAGCACCUCAAGUGGUCAGGAUGAUUAUUGGGCCUAAAGCAUCCGUAGCCGGCUCUGUAAGUUUUCGGUUAAAUCUGUAUGCUCAACAUACAGGCUGCCGGGAAUACUGCAGAGCUAGGGAGUGGGAGAGGUAGACGGUACUCGGUAGGAAGGGGUAAAAUCCUUUGAUCUAUUGAUGACCACCUGUGGCGAAGGCGGUUUACCAGAACACGUCCGACGGUGAGGGAUGAAAGCUGGGGGAGCAAACCGGAUUAGAUACCCGGGUAGUCCCAGCUGUAAACUAUGCAAACUCAGUGGUGCAUUGGCUUGUGGCCAAUGCAGUGCUGCAGGGAAGCCGUUAAGUUUGCCGCCUGGGAAGUACGUACGCAAGUAUGAAACUUAAAGGAAUUGGCGGGGGAGCAC